rnacentral:rRNA from 1 species
CCGCGAAUCGCCCUUGGUGCACCAGGCGCGAAAACUUUACAUGCUGGCAACAGCGAUAAGGGGACCUCGAGUGCCAGGAUACAAUCUUGGCUGUCGCGAUGCCUAAAAAGCAUUGCAUAGCAAGGGCCGGGCAAGACCGGUGCCAGCCGCCGCGGUAACACCGGCGGCUCGAGUGGUAACCGCUAUUAUUGGGUCUAAAGGGUCUGUAGCCGGCCGGAUAAUUCUUUUGGGAAAUCCAGCUGCUCAACAGUUGGGCUUUCAAAAAAUACUGUUCGGCUCGAGACCGGGAGAGGUGAGAGGUACUUCAGGGGUAGGGGUGAAAUCUUGUAAUCCUUGAAGGACCACCAGUGGCGAAGGCGUCUCACCAGAACGGAUCUGACGGCAAGGGACGAAAGCUAGGGGCACGAACCGGAUUAGAUACCCGGGUAGUCCUAGCCGUAAACGAUACUCGCUAGGUGUCAGCCACGGUGCGACCGUGGUUGGUGCCGUAGGGAAGCCGUGAAGCGAGCCACCUGGGAAGUACGGCCGCAAGGUUGAAACUUAAAGGAAUUGGCGGGGGAGCAC